rnacentral:rRNA from 1 species
GACGAACGCUGGCGGCGUGCUUAACACAUGCAAGUCGAACGGAAAGGCCCUGCUUGCAGGGUACUCGAGUGGCGAACGGGUGAGUAACACGUGGGUUAUCUGCCCUGCACUUCGGGAUAAGCCUGGGAAACUGGGUCUAAUACCGGAUAGGAGCCAUUUUUAGGGGGUUGGUUGGAAAGUUUUUUCGGUGUAGGAUGAGCUCGCGGCCUAUCAGCUUGUUGGUGGGGUAAUGGCCUACCAAGGCGGCGACGGGUAGCCGGCCUGAGAGGGUGGACAGCCACAUUGGGACUGAGAUACGGCCCAGACUCCUACGGGAGGCAGCAGUGGGGAAUAUUGCACAAUGGGCGCAAGCCUGAUGCAGCGACGCCGCGUGGGGGAUGACGGCCUUCGGGUUGUAAACUCCUUUCGCUAGGGACGAAGCUUUUUGUGACGGUACCUAGAUAAGAAGCACCGGCUAACUACGUG